rnacentral:snRNA from 1 species
AUACUUACCUGGCAGGGGAGAUACCAUGAUCACGAAGGUGGUUUUCCCAGGGCGAGGCUUAUCCAUUGCACUCCGGAUGUGCUGACCCCUGCGAUUUCCCCAAAUGUGGGAAACUCGACUGCAUAAUUUGUGGUAGUGGGGGACCGCGUUCAUGCUCUCCCUGU